rnacentral:rRNA from 1 species
UACGUAGGGUCCGAGCGUUGUCCGGAAUUACUGGGCGUAAAGAGCUCGUAGGUGGUUUGUCGCGUUGUUCGUGAAAACUCACAGCUCAACUGUGGGCGUGCGGGCGAUACGGGCAGACUGGAGUACUGCAGGGGAGACUGGAAUUCCUGGUGUAGCGGUGAAAUGCGUAGAUAUCAGGAGGAACACCGGUGGCGAAGGCGGCCCUCUGGACGGAUACUGACGCUGAGGCGCGAAAGCGUGGGGAUCAAACAGG